GAACUAAGUACGCUAAGUGGGCUAAACUCUAAUGUUUGAUCACACAGAUUUGGGGGGAAUUGCGGGUUCAGUUCACGGCUCACAUUCGCAGUUCACAGUUCACAGAGUGACAAUUACGCGUGCGCCAUGAAUAACGAGAGUCAAGGAAGAUGUUGUUGCCUACCAGUGCCGCCCCUUGCUGCCUGCGCCAGCACUGCGAAUGCAAAUCAGGAAGAGUUUGCAGCACUCGCACCCGCGCUGACCACCCUGAGCCGCGCGACAGGCCAGACUCGGAGCGCGCUGAUGUCUGUUUCCGCGGCUGCAGAGUCGUGUUCUUGGCCAUUGUCACGUGACGCCCGAUGCUACAAAUCAUCCGCACAAAAGGCAGGCGACAAACGCGCUGAUCACGACUGUUGUGGCGAAAAGAAGCAGGAAAUCAAACGAGCCAAGCAGGAGGGACUUCGUGUAAAACUAGAAGCGUCAAAUAGACAAAAGUUUUCCUGGAACCACCUGGAAGAAACCUGCUCUGUCUCUGCCUAUGCCUCUGCCCCUGCCCCUUCCCCUGCUCCUGCCCAUUGCUGUGGCCGCUGGGCAAAU